AUGGAUGGGGAGUUACUGGAAUACGACAGUGAUGUGCAAAAUAUGUUGGACCCCUUCACCACAAGCCAACACCUACUCCAGCACGAGCAUGGUGAUGAGAUGCAUGGCCUGCUGGGAGCCACUACCAACAUGGGCAACACUGACGAUGCCAACACUGCUGCUGCAGACAAAGGCAAAAAUAAUGAUGGAGAGACCCAUACUCAUAGUGAUCAGAGAAUGGAAUGCCUUUAUCCAGAUGCGGAACUCUGGAAAGACCUUAGCGAGAGGCUUGACAUGAGUGCCCGGCAGGUCAAGUUUUGGUUCCAAAACAAACGCUCCUCCAGCAAGGGCAAGAGGCAACUACAGGACACCAAGAAUCUUCAGAGAGAGAACCAGAUGCUAAAAGAUGAAAACCAAGCCAUCAAGUGGGUUGUUGAAAACAAGACAUGCCUCAAAUGCGCAGGGGUGAUGCUAAAAACUCAAAAUACCUCGGAGCACCAACGCCUGUCUAGAGAGAAUAUGUGGCUCAAGGAAAAACUCCGCCAUGCCACCGCCUAUCUUAAAGAGGGUCUCUACCGUAAUGGCAUGUAG
rnacentral:rRNA from 1 species